rnacentral:rRNA from 1 species
GACGAACGCUGGCGGCGUGCUUAACACAUGCAAGUCGAACGGAAAGGCCUCUUUCGGGGGGUACUCGAGUGGCGAACGGGUGAGUAACACGUGAGUAACCUGCCCUUGACUUUGGGAUAACUUCAGGAAACUGGGGCUAAUACCGGAUAGGAGCUCCUGCUGCAUGGUGGGGGUUGGAAAGUUUCGGCGGUUGGGGAUGGACUCGCGGCUUAUCAGCUUGUUGGUGGGGUAGUGGCUUACCAAGGCUUUGACGGGUAGCCGGCCUGAGAGGGUGACCGGCCACAUUGGGACUGAGAUACGGCCCAGACUCCUACGGGAGGCAGCAGUGGGGAAUAUUGCACAAUGGGUGGAAGCCUGAUGCAGCAACGCCGUGUGCGGGAUAACGGCCUUCGGGUUGUAGACCGAUUUCGCUCAUGACGAAGCUUUGUGUGACGGUAGUGGGUAAAGAAGCACCGGCUAACUACGUG